UCAUCGGACUGAAAAUAGCAUCAUUGUACCUUAUUCAGUUACCCGAUCUAAAAACAUGAAGAUUUGCGUUCUUUUGGCCAACAGCAUUUGUUCUGCCGAAUGGUCCGAUAGACACUGAAAGUCUGAUCAAUGACGCCCAUAAGGCUGUGCAAGAGUCUGAUUUGCCGGAAAGCGUGAAACUAGAGCUGGCCAACCUUCUCGGCGAUCCCCAAUUUGUUGAACAGUUGAUUGCCGAUAACAUGGAGUCACUCAGUUCUAGUUUUGGAACCAACUCUGAUGCUGGCCCUGCCGAACGCUGCUUGUUCUUGUUGUCUCUUCUGCUAGCUCAGUUGGCCCAGGCUUUAAUUGCGGCCACCACCACCACCACCGCCACCACUACCACCACCACCGUCGCCACCACCACCACCGCCCCUGCUGGUUAAAAGUUUAAGACAAUACUAAUACGUCCGCUUAUCGAAUGCCGUGUAUGCUCUAAAACGUUUGUGAGAAAUGCGGUGCAUCGGUAUAGUUAAAAUUUAUUGAACCACACGUGCAUUUUAUGGGAAAUGUAUACGACAUAGGCUUAUAUGGGAAUAUGGUACAUGAAUAUAAUUUUGGUUUAAAAAGCAUAAU